rnacentral:rRNA from 1 species
AGCAGCCGCGGUAAUUCCAGCUCCAAUAGCGUAUAUUAAAGUUGCUGCAGUUAAAAAGCUCGUAGUUGAAUUUCGGGACCAUCAUGUCGGUCGUGCCUCGGUACGUACUGGCAUUGUUGGUUUCUCCCUUCUGACGAACCAUGAUGUCAUUUAUUUGGUGUUGUGGGAAAUCAGGACUGUUACUUUGAAAAAAUUAGAGUGUUUAAAGCAGGCUCACGCUUGAAUACAUUAGCAUGGAAUAAUGAAAUAGGACGUUUGAUUCUAUUUUGUUGGUUUCUAGGAUCGACGUAAUGAUUAAUAGGGAUAGUUGGGGGCAUUAGUAUUCAAUUGUCAGAGGUGAAAUUCUUGGAUUUAUUGAAGACUAACUACUGCGAAAGCAUUUGCCAAGGAUGUUUUCAUUAAUCAAGAACGAAAGUUAGGGGAUCGAAGGCGAUCAGAUACCGUCGUAGUCUUAACCAUAAACUAAUGCCGACUAGGGAUCGGAUGAUGUUAAUUUUUAAUGA